rnacentral:ncRNA from 2 species
CAAUUAAAUAUAGGGAUGAGUGAUUCUUUUCCGAGGGAAAGAAUUGAAAAGGGAAGUCAGUUGAAGCUGACGCGGUGCCCGCCACUGUACAAGGGAGUUAACUCAUAUCGUUGUCACUGGGAUAUAUCCGGGAAGACGUGAGUUGACGAAGAUCUUGAGCCAGGAGACCUGCUUAUUCCGAAGUCGCAAC